rnacentral:rRNA from 1 species
GUGGGGAAUUUUGGACAAUGGGCGCAAGCCUGAUCCAGCCAUGCCGCGUGCAGGAUGAAGGCCUUCGGGUUGUAAACUGCUUUUGUACGGAACGAAAAGACUCCUUCUAAUAAAGGGGGUCCAUGACGGUACCGUAAGAAUAAGCACCGGCUAACUACGUGCCAGCAGCCGCGGUAAUACGUAGGGUGCGAGCGUUAAUCGGAAUUACUGGGCGUAAAGCGUGCGCAGGCGGUUAUGUAAGACAGAUGUGAAAUCCCCGGGCUCAACCUGGGAAGUGCAUUCGUGACUGUAUAGCUAGAGUACGGUAGAGGGGGAUGGAAUUCCGCGUGUAGCAGUGAAAUGCGUAGAUAUGCGGAGGAACACCGAUGGCGAAGGCAAUCCCCUGGACCUGUACUGACGCUCAUGCACGAAAGCGUGGGGAGCAAACAGGAUUAGAUACCCCAGUAGUCC